rnacentral:rRNA from 1 species
CCUACGUGAGGCAGCAGUGAGGAAUAUUGGUCAAUGGGCGCGAGCCUGAACCAGCCAAGUAGCGUGAUGGAUGACUGCCCUACGGGUUGUAAACUUCUUUUAUAAAGGAAUAAAGUGAGGCACGUGUGCCUUUUUGUAUGUACUUUAUGAAUAAGGAUCGGCUAACUCCGUGCCAGCAGCCGCGGUAAUACGGAGGAUCCGAGCGUUAUCCGGAUUUAUUGGGUUUAAAGGGAGCGUAGAUGGGUUGUUAAGUCAGUUGUGAAAGUUUGCGGCUCAACCGUAAAAUUGCAAUUGAUACUGGCAGUCUUGAGUACAGUUGAGGUAGGCGGAAUUCGUGGUGUAGCGGUGAAAUGCUUAGAUAUCACGAAGAACUCCGAUUGCGAAGGCAGCUUACUAAACUGCCACUGACAUUGAUGCUCGAAAGUGUGGGUAUCAAACAGGAUUAGAUACCCCAGUAGUC